UGUCUUCCCCACUCCGGGGCCCAAGCAAAGGAGUAUGAGAGACCAUCUUUCCUAGGAUGCACUGCGGUCCAUUCAGCUUCACUUCCUCUUCAGGCGGAGGAAGGAUACAGGGAAGCUUUCUUGUUAAAGCCGAGUUACAGGGUAUGGGUGUCGGAAGCAGAGGGUCUGAAGUUCACGCCGUCUAGAAGGGGAGGGAAAUGAAAGGCUCUCAGUGAGAAGAGUGACCCCUUUUCAUCCACAGAGUGUACAUAAUGUGCUCGAAUACAUCGUCUCAUCCUCACACCAGUCCUGCGAUACCUUUACCAGGUCUUCUCAGAAGCCUUCUAUGCUGAUGACAUUGUGACUCUUUCCAGAGAGCAGCAGUGAUGGCUCCAGAAUGUCUAGGGAGAGGAAGAGCUUAGUGUCAAGAGUCUGCUCACAGCAUAAGAUACUCUAGGAUGUGUCCUUCAGCUACAUCUGUUUUGCACACUUUUAUUUAGAGCUAUACCAGGUUCAGAACUCUUCAGAUCAACUUACCAGUCCACUUUAUAGGCCUGGUUGGAGAUGGAAACAGACCAGAAAGGCAAACUAGGUGGAGGGAUGUAGGUCUGGAUGGCUAACUUUAACACAGAAGAGUCCGUUUGUACGUGGUAUAGCAUGGUGGUUCUGGAACCCGACUGGCUAGAUUGAAGUCCCAGCUUUUGAACUUGGGUAACUUAUUUGUCCUCUCGGUACCUCCGUGUCUUCAUAAAAUUAAGGUGGUCAUUAAACCUACCUCAUAAGAUUGUGA